AACCCCGNGNUCUAAACUCYGACAWGGGAGUGARWCAUGGGGYGARUMAUWGMCCWAUAGGCGCAAUGAAAGUGAAGGUCAGCCUCGUGCCGACCGAGGGAAGAUGGGGCUCGCCUUCGGGUGGCCUCCGCAUUCCCGGGGCGUCUCGUUCUCAUUGCGAGUUGAGGCGCACCCAGAGCGUACACGUUGGGACCCGAAAGAUGGUGAACUAUGCCUGGCCAGGACGAAGUCAGGGGAAACCCUGAUGGAGGUCCGUAGCGAUUCUGACGUGCAAAUCGAUCGUCGGAGCCGGGUAUAGGGGCGAAAGACUAAUCGAACC
rnacentral:rRNA from 1 species